rnacentral:rRNA from 1 species
UACGGAGGGGGCUAGCGUUGUUCGGAAUGACUGGGCGUAAAGGGCGCGUAGGCGGCGAUCCAAGUUAGAUGUGAAAGGCCUGGGCUCAACCCGGGAACUGCAUUUGAUACUGGAUUGCUUGAGUCCGGGAGAGGAUGGCGGAAUUCCCAGUGUAGAGGUGAAAUCGUAGAUAUUGGGAAGAACACCAGUGGCGAAGGCGGCCUCUGGACCGGUACUGAC